GUUUGUUUCCUUUUCAUAAAGAAGACAACAGCUCUGGAUGCUGAUAAAACAAAGCUUGGCAGAGUCCCAAGUGCAAAAUCUUGUUCUGGGACUACACUCAGCUUGAUCUUCUCAUUUACCUCUCAGGUAGGCAUUCGGUCUUCAAAAGCCAGGACUAUACAUCUUUGGGAGAUGAAGCUGCAAAAGAAUUUUGAAUAGAUGGAACCUGAGGACGCUUCUGGCUCAGCUAUUACUAAUGGCAUGUUGGCUUUGGAAAAUUGCAUUUUGGCUUUUGGAAAACUCCGCAGUUUGGUACUGGAAGAAUUAGAAGAGUUUGAAACGUGGGAAAAUAAUGGAGAAUCAGAUUUGAAAUGGCUAUUCAUCUCCUGCAAAUACACCCACUGGACAACUAGGAUAGAUACAAGCUGCAAAGAAAGGUACCUCCCAGUAAAGUAUGUUCAUUUUUAUUGUUAUAUUUAGCUUUGCUAGAAUCACCAGUCCAGAGUCUUUUGUAUAUAGAUGGAGACUUGUCAUCAUAGCAAAGUCUGACAAGGAUAUAGGCUUAUUCAGGUACUUAUUCAUAAUGCAGAUCCCAUUCUAGGUAAAACAAAGAACAAAACUCAGUAGGACUCAUAAGUCAGUCUUAUUAUUUGCACAAGGAAGAUAAAUUAACUCCUCCUAAGCAGACAUAGACCAUAAAAUUUUCUCAUAAGUCUGGAAGGGACAGUUGUAGUCUGAUAUCCUUCUCAAAGAAUGAAUGACUGUCCAAAGUCAAUCCCAACAAAUGUCUGCUUGAUCCAUUUAUACAGUAUCUCAUCCUACAAUCUGCCAGCAUAGGUACUCAGGUGCUUCACUGUCCUCUCAGUCAGAAUGCUCUCUCCUUGCUGCAGUUUAACACACCGUGGCAGAAAAAGCACAGUAUUCUUUCUCUCUUAUUAGCAACAAACGAAUUUCAAGAUUGUUAUGCUCACUCUCUCUUCUCUAUACUUCACAGAUCAAAUUCCAUUCACUUUAUUUAUUUGUUAUUCCUUUAUUUAAAGUUUGAUUCAGAUUUGAUGGUGUUUUUUUUUACUCCAAAUUCACUCCUAUUUUUCAUCUUUCUUGAAGUGUUGCACCAUACACUAAACUCUUAAUUCCAAUUUAUAGGUGUAUAUAGAUCUGUAUAUAUCCAAAUGUGACAACUAUCAGUAUUUGAAACAGUAUGACACUUCUGACUGUUCAGUGUGGGUUUACUAAGUUUCUCAAGUCCUUUAUUGAGGAACUUAAAAAGCACAUUAAAAUCCUAGUGUACUAUAAAACAAAAAACAAGCACAAAAAGCAACAUUAUCAUGUUGUCAGUAGCUUCUGUGACACUAAGCAUCCUGAAGAAUGUUUUCCAAUUUUUAUGAUGCUAUGAAGAAAUUGUGAAGAGCUUUGCAAAGACACUGGAACUAGUGCAAGACUUUCUUUUGACUAUAAUGAGAAAGAAUGUGACGCUUAAUCCAUUGGAAUAGCCAGAUACCAUGAAAGAACUGUCUGAAAACAAAGUCUCUAUAUCAUUCAUGAAUAAAUAAACAAGAGGUCUGGCUUGCUCUCUCAGACAGAUAAUACGAAAGGAGAUAAGACUCCUUUAUAAGGAUAAGGCUGCUCUGAAUGUAACACCUCCUAUUUUACUAUGCUGGCCCAUGACAUCCGAGGUGAAUGUUGAUGAUAUGGCACUAUCAUCAACAAUAUUCUGUUACAUUUUACUACCACGUGACAGAUGACAAUAGUGGAGUGGUCUGACAUGAAAAUGUGGAGUUGAAUAUUGGCUUCAAUGUGUUUGAAAAGCUUGGAACAUCACAAAGUUUGCUCUGUGUGAGUCCUACAAAUGCCCACACAGAAACAGAAAGAACACUGUGUACAAGUAUAUCAGGAUCUGUUGAACCAACAUAAGGCUGAAGGUGACAGUUUCCUGGAUUGCAUGAUUACUGGCGAUGAAACAUAGGGUCAGGGCUAUGAGCCGGAGUUAAAACAUCAGUCCAUGUGACAUGUGAAU